AUUUGCAACAAAAAUUAUGCGUAUUCUCAUGCCACAUUCUAGUUAAAAUUUAGGAUCAAGUUUAUUGUAAACUUACAGAUUAUUACCCCAGUCGGAAUUUGGGACAUUGAGCAUAUGGACGGUCACGAUCUUGCGGCUUAGGUUCGUUUCUUUCUCCUCGUGGAUGUAAGCAGAAACGUCGUCCAGAAAUAAAUCAACCAACACGAAAUCCCAGUCGUCCGAUGCGUUACGCAAAUCCAACGGUCCAUUCCCAUCAGAAAUUCAAAAAUCGAAACGGUAUCAACACCCCCCUCACCACCGUUAGAAGUGCUUAGAACUCUCUCGCCAUCUCUCUCUCACUCGCUCGCACGCUCAGAAGCUCCGAGGAGGGUUUUCUUCUGUCCCUUGGAAAGAUCCGAGGAUUUUUUUUAGGGCCACAAUGAUGGGCGAUGGAGCUUUGCCCGCGAUGUCUCCCCCGCGAUCGAUCGAAGCAGCGCCGAAAGCAGUAGAAGAGAAAUCCAAACCCCUUCAAGAAGUUCAAGAUCGAACCUUAGAAGCGCUCUCUGAUUCCCGGAUCAAGGUGUGAUGCAUCUCCCAUCCCUUUCAAAUCGAGAAAACACCAUUUUUAAAAAGAAAAUUAGGUCUGAGUUGCCUGAGAUCUGUUCCAGGUUGAACCCUAGAAAUUACCUGUUUUUCCGUUUAAUGGAUUUUGUGGUCGUUUCUUUCUUAUAUUUAAAAUUUCUCUGGACAUCAAAAGUUCAAACCCUAGAAGACACAUGCUUGAUUUUAGAAAAUGAAAAUUCGAGAGAAAGAGUUGUUCUUGUGAAAAGAUACGUUUCUGAUUAUAAUUUUGACUUGUGAAUUGGGUUUCUUGCUCUCUCUCUCAGAUUGAGAGCUGAAUCCCUCAAUUGUCUUCAAAGAGAUGGAACAAGAAUCAAGCAACCGUAUCCAGGUGAUUGAUCUGCUCUCCUUAGUAACUGGAGCAGCAGAACAGAUAUUUCUCAUUUUUCCUUUUCUUUUAUAUAUUCAAGUCCUUUUUCUUGAAUUCCUUGUCUCAUUCCAGAUGCUUAAGGAUGAUGAUUGCCUCAUUCCAUCUCCUAUUCUGAAGGGAAUUUGUUCCUGAUCUCUCUUCUACCCUUCAGCUUCUUGGUAUAUCGGCCACUUUCUUUUCCGUUUUUUUGAAGGACUGGUAAAGCUUCGGAUGAUCACCUACGAAUCAGAGCAAAUUCUAAUCCUCUCUUUUGUGUAGGGUCUAAGUACAAUAGUCUGAUGAAGAGACACCGCGAACAGAGUGACGAACUUGUAAAACUACGGGCUAAUUGUGAAAUGCUAAAGAAUAAGUACCUGGAGGAGUGCGAGCCUAAAUGCGAAACCUUGAAGCAGAAGUACACAGAAGAGUGUGCUGAAAGGAAGCUCCUACAUAAUGAACUGAUCGAGCUGAAGGGCAACAUAAGGGUUUUUUGCAGAUGCAGGCCAUUAAGCUCGGAAGAGAUCUCUAAAGGUUAUUCUUCUGUGGUAGAGCUUGACCCAUCACAGGAUACUGAAUUGCAGCUCAUCUGUUCAGACUCCUCCAAGAAGCAGUUUAAAUUUGAUCAUGUUUUUGGACCUAAAGAUGAUCAAGAGGCCGUCUUUUUGGAGACCUUGCCAAGUGAAAUCAGUACUAGAUGGGUACAAUCUGUGCAUUUUUGCAUAUGGGCAGACAGGUAGUGGGAAGACAUUUACGAUGGAAGGAACAACAGAGAACCAAUAUGCUCACAGAAAGUUCAUAUCUGAUUAAGAAGCUUCUUUCCUUGGAACACUUGAACAGUUCCUCCAAAGCUUUGUAGUUAACACCUCUAUUCUUUGAAGAGAACAGGAGUGUUAACUACAAAGCUUUGGAGAACUGUUCAAGUGUUCUAAGGAAAGAAGCUCCUUAAUCAGAUAUGAACUUUCUGUGAGCAUGUUUGAGGUCUAUAAUGAGAAGAUCAGAAAUCUACCUGUGAAGAAGUAAAAAUCCCUUUCUUGUGCUUGAAAAUAUCAUGGAGUGCUUGAUUGUUAUUUGGACUACAAUUCUCUAACCUGAAAUAAGAUUGUAACUUUAUUCUGGUUAUAUCUUUUAAUAAAUUUCAUGAAGAUUGGAAAUAAAGCAAGUGGCAGACGCUUUUGGGAAGGGCUUCGAAGCAUAUCAAGCUCAAGCUCAGCAGCCUUUCUCGAGGAUGGACUUCUCCAUCCUCGAUGUUGAUGAUGGCUACGCUGAUGAAGGUGGCAACCCUGAUGGCAGUGAAGGCGGGGAUGCCGGCCACAAUGAAGGUGCCAAUAGGGAUGAGGGCGAAGAAUGAGGUCUUUCGCCUCAUUAUUUUUACUUAUUUUUCUUUUUACUCGUGUGAUCCUAGCUUGAUGUACCUUUUUUUGUUUGGUCUCUUUUGGGGCUAGUGUAAAAGGUUACAAAUUUAAUGAAAGCAAAGGGUUUUUCGAGUUCUUGGCUUCGGUUUUUGGCCCCCUUUUAUUUGAGUCCAGGUCGUCGUGCUGAGCUUAACCUUUCAUUGUAGUCUUUUUUGGCUCGAUCUCGGACGAGAUUAAUUUAUGUACUGAAAAAUAACAGAUGCAAAGAAAUUUU